rnacentral:tRNA from 1 species
GCGUCUAUAGCUCAGCGGAAGAGCGCCACCCUACGGAGGUGGGCGUCGGGGGUUCGAAUCCCUCUAGGCGUAC